CCCCUUAGAGUUUGAUCAUGGCUCAGAAUGAACGUUGGCGGCGUGGAUUAGGCAUGCAAGUCGAGCGAGAACCCGCAGGGGGGACAGCGGCGAACGGGGUAGGAAUACGUAGGUAACGUACCCUCGGGGCGAGGACAGCCACGGGAAACUGUGGGUAAUACUCGAUAAACUUCCCAAUCAUUAUGGAGGGGGAAGCAAUGGGUGUGAUUCCACCUGAGGAGCGGCUUACGCAGUAUCAGCUAGUUGGUGAGGUAACGGCUCACCAAGGCUACGACGCUUAGGGGGUGUGAGAGCAUGGCCCCCACCACUGGCACUGAGACACUGGCCAGACACCUACGGGUGGCUGCAGUCAAAAAUCUUCGGCAAUGGACGCAAGUCUGACCGAGCGACGCCGCGUGUGGGAUGAAGGCCUUCGGGUUGUAAACCACUGUCAGAGGGGAUGAAGUGUACGAGAGUUAUCUCUUGUAUUUGACAGAGCCUCAGAGGAAGCACGGGCUAAGUUCGUGCCAGCAGCCGCGGUAAUACGAACUGUGCGAACGUUAUUCGGAAUCACUGGGCUUAGAGGGUGCGUAGGCGGUUAUCUAAGUCAGGUGUGAAAUCUCUCGGCUCAACCGGGAAACUGCGCUUGAAACUGGAUGACUGGAGGGAUGCAGGGGGUGUGUGGAACUUCCGGGUGGGAGCGGUGAAAUGUGUAGAUAUCGGAGGGACGCCAGCAGCGAAAGCGGCACACUGGUCAUCUACUGACGCUGAGCACGAAGCUAAGGAGUGACGGAUAGAUCCCCAGUCAUCUAGCGUACCUGACGCUGGAGAGAAGAUGCUCGUCUCCUCCCGUACGAUCAUAUGUCGCUGAGGAGAUAGGUCCAGCUACUCAAUAUUGACGGAUCCACAAGCGUGACAUGUGACUAGUCGAGCUCACGCGAU
rnacentral:rRNA from 1 species